AUUGAACGCUGGCGGAAUGCUUUACACAUGCAAGUCGAACGGCAGCACGGGGCAACCUGGUGGCGAGUGGCGAACGGGUGAGUAAUACAUCGGAACGUGCCCAAUCGUGGGGGAUAACGUAGCGAAAGUUACGCUAAUACCGCAUACGAUCUACGGAUGAAAGCGGGGGAUCGCAAGAACUCGCGCGAAUGGAGCGGCCGAUGUCAGAUUAGGUAGUUGGACGGGUAAAGGCUCACCAAGCCGACGAUCUGUAGCUGGUCUGAGAGGACGACCAGCCACACUGGGACUGCGACACGGCCCAGACUCCUACGGGAGGCAGCAGUGGGGAAUUUUGGACAAUGGGCGAAAGCCUGAUCCACCCAUUCCGCGUGCAGGAUGAAGGCCUUCGGGUUGUAAGCUGCUUUUGUACGGAACGAAACGGUUCUCUCUAAUACAGGGGGCUAAUGCCGGUACCGUAAGAAUAAGCACCGGCUAACUACGUGCCAGCCGCCGCCGUAAUAC
rnacentral:rRNA from 1 species